rnacentral:rRNA from 1 species
AUUGAACGCUGGCGGCAGGCCUAAAACAUGCAAGUCGAGCGAGCGGCGGACGGGUGAGUAAUGUAUGGGGACUGCCCGAUAGAGGGGGAUAACUACUGGAAACGGUAGCUAAUACCGCAUACUAUCGGAUAACCCAUAUGGGAUUAGCUGGUUGGUGAGGUAAUGGCUCACCAAGGCGACGAUCCCUAGCUGGUCUGAGAGGAUGAGCAGACACAUUGGUACUGAGACACGGCCCAGACUCCUACGGAGGCAGCAGUGGGGAAUAUUGCACCAUGGGCGCAAGCCUGAUGCAGCGAUGCCGCGUGUAUGAAGAAGGCACUAGGGUUGUAAAGUACUUCCAGUCGGGAGGCGUUACCGACAGAAUAAUCCCCGGCUAACUCCGUGCCAGCAGCCGCGGUAAUUC